AACUUUGUCCAAAAGUAAUUCCAUCACAUAGACAGUGCAAUAUACUUGAGAUGCAAUAUACAUUUGAGCGGACGUACCCGAUGAGGCUGCAUACUUUUUACAGGGACUUCAGUUUUUGAUUUUCCUUCAUGCUGGUCAUGGUUGGGAUCAUGGACGCUGUAAAGUGGAAUUGUGUUUGCUCAAUCAAUAUCAAUUGCGAUGCGUUGAUGGAUAGAACAAAAUUGUACCUAUAAGAACUUGUCUGGAGAUUUUUCAUUUCAUUGAAAGAGAGGUGUCAGAAGGUGCAGAUAUUU
rnacentral:snoRNA from 1 species